AAGGAGAAAAUGGAAUUGUUUCUGAAUAACCUCUUAGUCAAAUCUAUAUAAGAUAACUUUGUGUUUGUGAGCGAAGCAGCUAUAAAACAUUUCACGAUGAGCUUUUGAACCAGCUAAGUGUGUGUGCCUGCAAAGCUUGUGUUUGUGUCCCUGCAACUUCAUUUCAUUGCAUUAUUGGGCCUACAUUCCUGACCGGCUUUCUACUGUUGCUGCUGCUUCCUGAUGUGCACAAUCCCUGAAGGUACUUUUUCCUUAUAAAUCCUGGGCUCUGUUGUUCACUGGAUGCCCAUUACAGCAUGACUGAUCCCACUACCUCCUUAAUGUCUACCCCAAGAGAAUAGCAGGUUGCUUUCUUGCAAUGGAGGUUCUUCUAGUAGUCAUCUGUUUGUUCACACAUGGACUUCCACACGUGUGUGGGGCCCAGUCUUUGGAACCUUCCACGCAAUUUCCUCAGUAGAUUUUUGGAUCGUAGCUCCUCCUCCUUCCCAGGUUCAUUCUCGUUUUCCCCUCAGCUAAGGAGUCUGCUGAUCUGAAAGAAAAGAAAAGACUGCUGUGGGGAAGGAAGGGCGGGAAUGUGAACGAACAGGUGACCACUAAAAGAACCUCAAUUACAGUUUCCUCGACACCUCAAAGAUCUCUAAGAGAGAUGGGUCCAAGAUGGCAGGAGAAGCCAGGCCAUGAGGUAAAGGUGAAGCACAUCUCGAUGUAGGAUGCACCUAUCUUGGAUUGUCAGGAGGUUGGGAUAUGAGAUCUCAACUACCUGAUGAAUCUAUUGAUCAGUAUGUCACAGCAUUGUGUGCCUUAAGUGUAGCCUAUGAGUUUGUGAACUUUACGGAUGAAAUGAUCAGGGAUCAGAUUGUUAUGAAAACAAACUGCUCCAAACUGCAUGAACAACUGCUAUUGGAGUGGAAACUUACCUUGGAAUAAGUUAUAGAGAUGGCUAAGUGAGAGCGAAAUGCUCUUCACUUCCAAAAUUGCUAUCUUUGGUUCCCUAAAACCAACUUCCUGUAAUCCAGGCUGUUCAGUCUAAAUCCUUCCAAACCCAAUCUUCUCAUAUGGCACUGCCCCAGAAAGUGACAGAAGAAGAAAGGAGGAGCUACCAAUGCAGAGAGACUGCCUGCAAAGCCAAUUUUGCUCACUGUCCUGCACAUAAGAUCACUUGCAAUAGGCACAAGAAAAGUGGACACUUUGUUUAGGUUUGAAGUCUGCUGUCCACUCCAUUACUGAUUUACUAUAUGGUAAGGAUGAGGCAAAUGAACCUCUUCCUGACAGAGUUUUAAGUGUGACAGAUUCUGAGACUGCUUCUCCACACUGUGAAGUUAAACUUAAUGGCCAUGAAGUGCAGAUACUGGCUGAUUCGGGUUCUCCGUACACUACAAUUUCCAUCUGCUUUACAACAAACUCCUUACUACAUCAGAUCUGCACCUGAAGCCUUCAGACAUCCACCCAUGGGGAUAUGGCGGUUCCCCUAUUGCCAUAAAUUGACACUUCAUUACUGUCCUGGAAUACAAAGGAUGUACUGUAGAAGGGGAAAUGUAUAUGUCACAAAAAGGAGUCUCAAUAUUGGGCUGGAACUUCAGAAAGAUCGUUUUAGAACCAAAUAGUAUUACAGAUGAUGGAGCAUACAUGUGCUGAUAUGGUUGCUGAUUUCCGGGACAUUUUUACUGAUACUCCUGGCUCUGCCAUACAUUUCAAACAUAAAAUUCAGAUUAAGGCCACUGCAGUAUCUGCACAACACAAAGUGAGGAACAUACCCAUAGCAUUGCGCCAACCACUUAGAGAGGUGCUCUUAAGACUACAGCAUGCUGACAUCAUAGAGCCUGUUGAUUAAUCAGAAUGGGUCUCUCCCAUUGUUCUUGUGAGGAAAUCAAACAGUACAUUCCAAAUGUGCAUAGAUUUAAGAGUUAUGAACUCCAAUAUGGUAGUGAAUUGUCAUCCAUUGUCCAUUAUCAAUCAAAUGCUGCUUACUCUGAAAGAGGCCUCAGUGUCCCCCACUCUGGACUUGUCUUUGGCCUAUCAUCAAAUUCCUCUGCUCAAGAGUUUUCACAAAUACUUCAUUACCCCAGAUGGUCUUUUUCAAUACAAAAGACUGCCCUUUGGAUUAACCUCUGCAGCUUUGGUAUUUUAAAGAAUGAUGCAUGCAAUGUUGCGACUAUGGAUGGCCUCACAUACAUUCAGGAUGACAUUUUAGUGUAUGGCAAAGCCAUUGUGGAGCUUGAUGCUAAACUGAUAGAAGUCUUAAGAAAACUAUGACAAUAGGGACAAUAUCUCUGUAGAGAAAUGUCAAUUUUGCACACACUCAGUGACAUAAUUGGGACCCACAAUAUUCUCAUUGUGGUGUAUAUCCCAAAACAGACUUGGUGAAAGCUAUUCAAGAAGCCCCAGAGCCACACAACAAAGAUGCACUUCAAUCAUUUUUAGGAUUCUGUGAGUAUUACUCUAAAUUUAUUAGACAUUUGCCUCAAAAUUUGCUCAAUUGAGUUUUCUUUUUAAAAAAGAACAUAGCAUUUAACUAGUAAUGUGCAUGGAAUGCGGAGGCGCGGUCCAACGCCAGGGGGGUGUUGCUUUAAGGGCGUGGGGGUUGUACUUACCCCUCCCGCCGCUUUCCCCCCUCCGGCGCUCCAGUUUUUGGCAAAAUCUUUCGGGCGGCAGCAUUCCGUGCUGCCGCCCAUGCCGCCGCCAUACGUGAGCUGCACACAUCACAGUGACGUGCGUGACACACACAGUGGCAGCAGGCGCAUGCGCCCGUGUUACUUCCAGUUUUGGAAACCACCUAAAAGACUUCAAGAUUUUGUCACAAAGUUUUAAAUCAUUUCAGUUCUCAGUUGUUAUAAAGGGGAUGGAUGUAUUCUGUCCAGCAUCUUUUAUGUUUUGUUGUUUAAAAUGUGUCCCAGUGGGAAUCCCACUGAAUGUGUCGGGGGUAUGAUCAGAAAGGAAAAGGAAGGGAAAUGAGAAAAUGGAAUUCUUUCUAUUGAAUAAACUCUUAGUUAAAUCUAUAUAAAAUUACUUUGUGUUUGAGAUGGAAGUAGCUAUAAAGCACAGAGUUACAGAGCUUCAUUACAUUUUAAAAGGAAGGGAAGGAACCAAUGAUUCUUCUCCAAUGAUUCUUUAUAUAGUUAAAGAAUAGUUUGUGGGUUUGUCAAGUUCAUAUAUCCUUAGAGAUGAGCUUUAAAAAGUUUCUGAAAUUAUGUUCUGAGCCUGGCUUGAGAGAAUUUUGCUGGCACUCCCAGUAUUUAAAUUUUUAAGGCAACAUGCUCUAUCAUUAUUAUACAAAAUGGAUAUAUUGUACAAAUUUCAACUUGUCCAACAUUCUUAUGGAUGAUAAUUAUGCAGUUAGCACAUUUGUAUCCCACCGUUCAACUAAGGAGGUUGGGGUAGUGGUACAUCUCCUUUCAUCUUCACCAGAGUCCUGUGAGAAUAGUUUAGGCUGAGAGGUGGUGACUGGCCAAAGAUUAGCCAGUGAGUUUCAAGGAUAAACAGGAAUGUGAACCCAGGUCAUCCCAGGCCGAGUCUACAAAACUAUACUGGCCCUCAUAAAAUAAUUAUAAACCAGAAACUAACGUGCAUCCAUUCCAAAUAAACAAUGUACAUUUAAGCGACUCCAUCAGAAUAGUUUAUUUCACUUUGACAAAUUUUAGAAAUACGUAUUUACCCAUUGCUGACAACUGCAGAGUGACCAAAUCUGUUCACAUCACGAUGAAGGUUAGGUUUUGGAAGAAUUUUCCAUUCGUCACAAGCUAAUAAGAUAUAAGAGAAUAAAUUUCUUGUCAUGUAGUUCAAGCAAAUUAUUCUAACAUAUUAACAUAAAAUAGGACUUUUAAAUCAAAGUUAUAUGGGCUAUAACAAAAAAAAUAUGAGAUUUGCUUUCUAAAUUAAACUGCUAAUAUUUUUUAUUUAUUUAUUGUUAAAUAAAUUCUUAAGUAAAAUGGCACUUCUGGUUUAAAAUUCUGGUUUGAACCAAUUCUGGUUUAAAGUGUUCAAGUUCAGAGUGCAGGAGCAUUUCCAGAUGGGGCUUUUAGCUCCCUUCUCUUCCAGAAUGGAGGAUGUACAUUCACAUAUCAGCCAGAUUUCCCCCAAAGUCCCUGCGAGCUAUUGGGGAGCACACCACACACAAGUCGGGUUUUUCAUUAUGUAGCCCAAUUUAUGUCCAGGGUUUAAAAAUCCAGUUUUCGUGUCAGGAUUUUUGUGGCAAAUUUGAAUUUUCAGUACAGCCUCGCAGUAAACCCACGAUAAAGCCUGCUAUCUGAAAAUGCUCCAGGUGGGUGUAACUAAUGGAAUUAUGUGGGAAGUGCAGGGAGGAGGAGGACUCAUAUGCUUGGAACUGCUGCACCUGUUGUCAACAUAAUAUGUAAAUAACUUAUACUCAUUACACAAGUGUUGAACAUAACUUGUGAAUAGAGUUAUGUGAAAAACUAUCCACUGUCAAGUAUAGAAAUGUAAAAUAAUAUUAUAAAACAAUGCCUUCCAAAACACUAAUAGUAACAAUUUAAGGUUGAUAGUUAUACUAACACACUGCUAUAGUGAAGCAGCAUAGCUGGUAACUUUUUUUUAAGGUCACAUGUCACAAAACAGUGCAUUUUACAUUAGCUCCCCAUGUAAACAGUUAUUCUAAAACCUCCUCAUAUUUAAUGUUGUUUCUCAAAUGCUCAACAUGGAAGGACAUUUGUUUCUCAGUUUCUCCUCUAAGAAGCUGCCAGUCCUUGUAGUUUAGAAAGUAAUUUUAAAAACAAACCAACCAUAUUGCGGAUUUUUCAGACAUGUAUAAAGAUAUCUCGUCCUUUUUUCAGCAAUAGUUUAAAAUUUAACGGCUAUUAGCAUAGCCUGCAAAAAUCAUGAUCACACAAACACAAUCGAUAAUAAAUGGGCCUUCAAACCAAAGCCGAAGAGUUCUCAUGAAGACUCUCAUGGGUUUUCAUAAAAAUUCUUAUUUGUGUGAAGCCCUGACCCAAGCUCCCUGAUGGGUAUCUACAGUGGGCAACAUCCAGAUUAAUGAUGUUAUGCUAGUGCAAGGCUGUUGUGCUAGCUAGCUAGCUGCACUAAGUCUAAAGCUUGCAUUACAGACUAGCGUUGCACUACUGUAAACACAUUUGCACUAUCACAAAGUUUGCAAUCUGUGGCACUUGUUUUGCGGGCAAGUGCAAUUUCACACAUCUACUAGCCAAGGACAACCAGAGGGUGGACAUGGAUGGGCAAGCACCCAGAGGUGUAUCUAGGGAAAAUAGUGCCUAGGGCAAGCACUGAAAUUGCGCCCCCUGUCCAAACAUCUGGCACCCAUCUUUCAGAUAAUUUUACCAUAAUAUCAGCUCAAAAAUACAAGUCAAGCUCGUUAAUCUUUUAAUAUUUCAAAAACUAUUUAGCAGUGGACGUAGCCAGACCAAGAAAAUGUGGAAAACUACAAAUUUCAGUAUGCUGGGGCUCAUGAAAUACCCAAAUAUUAUGCGGAGGUGUACUUGGAAAAACUAAAUACAAGUGCCUGUCUAAUUCUCUGCUAUACGUUGUAGCAUCACGAUUACAUAAGUUUUAAAAAUAAAUGGAGAAUUUGACUUUUCCCAGAUACUCUGAAAACAAUUAAACGAUAUGCAGAGUAAACUGUGCCACUGCUUAGAAUAUAUUCUAGUAUUUCAGAAAGACAGUUAAAAUGAGAGAAAAAGCAAGAAACUCCAGUGGGCCUUAAUACUAAGGAUUUCACACUGAUUCAAAGACAAACUCACCAUUAAUAGCCAUACUAUUAAGACAUCACAUUUAACUCACUUAUCACAAGGAGCAAAGUAAGAGCAAAUGAAUACAAUCUUAGCUCAUAAACUUCAGCUCAGAAUUCACAAUCCCUGAUUCUCUGUACAUAGUGCCAAUCUGAAUAGGUGCACAGUGACUUAUAUUAAAUUAAUUUUUUAAAAAAUAAAUACCUGUAGCCCCUUUGGGGGGCUUCCUAAAGGAUGUGGGGGCCUGCAAAGUUUUCCCCUCCUCCCACUGGCCUUUAGGGCCUCACAGGCACCUUUUGAGCAUGUGCGGUGGUCAUUUUUUAAAAUAAUUUUUUCUUUAAAAUGGCCCCUGAAAACAAUAUGGCUGCCAUGCUUGCUCAAAUGGCCUCUGCGAGGCCUGGCAUGG